rnacentral:rRNA from 1 species
GCUUACGACCACACCGGCCUGAGUACGCCUGAUCUCGUCUGAUCUUGGAAGCUAAGCAGGGUCGGCCUGGUUAGUACUUGGAUGGGACACCCGCCUGGAAUACCAGUUGCUGUAAGCU